GGGGGAAAGGGGGGAGAAUCCAAUCCGGUUUUAGCUAGUUUGUGUUUCGAUGGGACGUUAACGUCUUCCUGCGCUGAAACCUGUGUGUCUUUUUAUCGAGCUAACUAAGCACUGUUGUUAGCUAUUUUUAGUCUCUUUGCCUUGCUUACUUUCCCCCUCUUCUUGUAUCUUAUUCCUGGUUUUAUUUUUUAUUUUUGUGUGUGUGUGUGUGUGUGUGUUUUAACACCUCAAAAGCAGCCAUGCCCAAAAGGAGCAAAGUAAGUACUUAUGUGUGAUACUUGGAAUUCUCUUUGAUCUGUCUUUUAAUCGGUGUAAAUGUGCAAAACGUGCCUUAUUGCAUUGCUUUUAAAACAUGCAUUCGAGAGUUAUAUCUCUGUUUUUGCUUUGCUCGCAUUAAGUUUGCAGUGUGCAUUCGUUUUUGUUGCACGUUUAAAAAGAAAAAAUAUAUAUAUACUUAUGUGUUUUGAUUUUGCCACGCGCUUCAUUUCGGUGUGCACGGACUUGGGUUUUCCUUCUUUAACGCGUUGCACGAGCGCGUGCAUUUCUGUUUCAGUUAAGUGCAUGAAGGUGGUUUUGUUUUUUCUGAAGCAGGUUAUUUUCAUGCUCACUGUUUACAAAUGGACGAAGUAGCCCUGGAUACAUGGAGCUAGACAAAGGGGUGUAACUGAGGCGAUCUCUACUUUUCACUUAUUCUUCCCUCUCCAUAACCUCAUAAGCUAAAUGCACGUUUAAAAUAAAUAAAUAAAAUUACAUGCAUUGUAGGUCGUUGUGCUUUUUCGAACGUAUACGAAUCGUUUUGUAUGUGUUUUGGGGUUUUAAAUGCAAAAAAAAAACUCGAUCCUUGUUUUGGAAAACGGUCUUGUAUGGAAAUGCUCCUCCAAGAAAAGCUCAAUGGUCUCUGGUAUGAUCCCUUCGACCGCUUUUUGUUUUUUUUUCCUUUCUUUUUCUCGAAAAACACAUUAAAAAUAAAACAAACGCGUGUGUUUCUCUGGGAGUGAAUUCUACUUGUAUAAAUGUAUUAAUGUGCUUAUAGACGAUACACGUUCGUCGCCAUAGCUGUGAAUUCGUGCAAAUCUGUGGUUGUAAAAAUGGCGAAUCUUGCACACCGCAGCGACUCUUGUCGUUUUUCUGGCCUUUUCCUUUCCUUUAUAACGGCCCCAAACUAUCCGAGUAUGUCCUGGCAACAAUGAAAAGCAAGGGGGGAAAUCAGAAUCGGUAUCAAAACGCCAUUUUAAUCGUAUAUCUUUAAUUAAAUCGUCAACGUUGCUGAAUAGAUUAGUGUGGAAGGGAGGCGGGGUUCAUAGUUCCCUCCUUCUCCCUCGUGCGCACACGGGCAGCCAAUCAGCACACAGCGGCAAGAAAAUGGCGGGCUUUUGAGAUCAACAUUAGUUUUUAUAUAUAUAUGAAGGGGGUGGGGCGGUGUUUGCAGUUUGAGCACCAUUGAGUUGCCAUUAAAGUUCUUGUUUCUAUUCUUCUUUCAAGAAGUAUAACAUCUUGUUUUUCUCCAUUUAAACUGAUUAAAAUUUCUUUGUUUUUCAGGCGAACAAUGACACUGAAGCCAGUGAGGUAAGUUUGUUUUGAAUCGUAAGACGAACGCUGUUUUCACUACUCAAAUUUGUGACGGCACAAAUUCACACGUUCCUUUGAUGUUUUUGUGUGUGUGUGUUUUCAGCCCAAAAGGAGAUCGGCGAGAUUGGUAAACAAACCGGCACCUCCUAAGGCUGAGCCGAAGCCAAAGGCAAAGAAGGCACCUGCCAAACCCAAAAAGACUAAGGAGCCCAAGGAAGACAAGCCCAACGACGAGGAGAAGAAAGAGGAAGUCCCUGCUGAGAACGGCGAGGCAAAGGAUGACGAUGAGGCACCAGCAACAGAAGAGACGGAGAAGAAGGACGACGAAGCAGAAUAACGUCUUGUCUCGAACCAGUGCUCCCUGUACCUCUCUUCUUGUACAAUUCAGGGGAAUAUUUUUAUCUACUAUUUUCUAAAGGCAGUUUUUUUAGUAGUUUGAUUGUAGAGACACAUUUUUUAUGAAAGCUACAAUGCGUUUCGAGGGGGAUUUCAUCCCAUCCCACAUUUCUACAUCCAGAACAGUUAUUGUCUGUCAGUUCCUCUUUUCAAAGUGGGAAGGAGUUACGCCAUUGGUGCGCGCACACACAAACACAUUGCGCAUGGCGAUUACAAAGACAGUCGGACAACUUGCCCAAAUGACUAACAUUCCAUUGGCUCAAUGAGGGAUUUUUUUGUUGUUGUUGUUGUUGUUUGAAUGUGUGUAACCUGUUAUGUAUGCGUGCGUGGCGGGGAGGGGUGCGAAUCACUCAUCGUUUUCUUGUUUAUAAUGAGGCAGAUUACUUAGAACGUUUGUAAGCUGUGUACUGUAUGUUAAUUCUUGUACCGAUUCUGCUUAAUAAACCUACUUUGUAGUACUGGAGCUCUCCAUGUCAGGCCUGUGUAUCAUCACGUGUUUCGUUGUCUUUCCUGUGAUAGCACCACAAUAGAUCUAUAUAGCAGCUGUGAAACGAUCUUUGACUUUAUACGCAGCGUGUAAUGGUACCUUGUCCAGAUGUGGUCAAGACUGAAUCCUUGGCAAAGCUAAAAAUGCAUCGGCGUGUUAAAGCUUGGCCACCUUUUCAGGCCGGGUCUAAUGAUCGAGUGUAAGAUCUGGCAAAACUGUACAGCACUAGUACCAGCAGUAGCAAUAUACAUGUGCAACUACAAAUGUACAGUUUCUUUCAGCUCAUUGUUUAUAGAUGUAUCUCUGUGUAUUGUUUGAUUAAAGCGAGCCAAUAAAAAUUGUUUGUGAGACCUGUUUCUCCCGCU
ensembl:lncRNA